UCCUAGCCCAGAUAGAAGUGAAAAUCCUUUUCUUGUUUUUCUUUAAAACAAGAAAAGGAUUUUCACUUCUAUCUGGAAAUAGC
rnacentral:sRNA from 1 species